rnacentral:rRNA from 1 species
UUGAACGCUGGCGGCAGGCCUCACACAUGCAAGUCGAACGGUAACAGGAAGAAGCUUGCUUCUUUGCUGACGAGUGGCGGACGGGUGAGUAAUGUCUGGGAAACUGCCUGAUGGAGGGGGAUAACUACUGGAAACGGUAGCUAAUACCGCAUAACGUCGCAAGACCAAAAAGGGGGACCUUCGGGCCUCUUGCCAUCGGAUGUGCCCAGAUGGGAUUAGCUAGUAGGUGGGGUAACGGCUCACCUAGGCGACGAUCCCUAGCUGGUCUGAGAGGAUGACCAGCCACACUGGAACUGAGACACGGUCCAGACUCCUACGGGAGGCAGCAGUGGGGAAUAUUGCACAAUGGGCGCAAGCCUGAUGCAGCCAUGCCGCGUGUAUGAAGAAGGCCUUCGGGUUGUAAAGUACUUUCAGCGGGGAGGAAGGGAGUAAAGUUAAUACCUUUGCUCAUUGACGUUACCCGCAGAAGAAGCACCGGCUAACUCCGUG